UGGGGAAUUUUGGACAAUGGGGGCAACCCUGAUCCAGCCAUGCCGCGUGAGUGAAGAAGGCCUUCGGGUUGUAAAGCUCUUUCGGCCGGGAAGAAAUCGCAUGGGCUAAUACUCUAUGCGGAUGACGGUACCGGCAUAAGAAGCACCGGCUAACUACGUGCCAGCAGCCGCGGUAAUACGUAGGGUGCGAGCGUUAAUCGGAAUUACUGGGCGUAAAGCGUGCGCAGGCGGUUUUGUAAGACAGGCGUGAAAUCCCCGGGCUCAACCUUGGAACUGCGUUUGUGACUGCAAGGCUAGAGUACGGCAGAGGGGGGUGGAAUUCCACGUGUAGCAGUGAAAUGCGUAGAGAUGUGGAGGAACACCAAUGGCGAAGGCAGCCCCCUGGGUCGAUACUGACGCUCAUGCACGAAAGCGUGGGUAGCAAACA
rnacentral:rRNA from 1 species